AGAGUGAUGCUGUAUGCCAGGUAAAGGCAAGUAAUGCAGAGAAAUCAACGAUCGACGCUGAACUGCAUGUUAAACUUCUGGAUCUUGAAAAAAAAUUGAGUCUAGCAACUCGAACCAAUCCAAAUGACAAAUGACACUGCUGGAAAGAAAAAGAACAAGAGAACGAAGAAAUAAAUUGAUCUACAAAAGUUUUUGACUAUCGUGUAAUGAACGUUUUAAAAAAUUGAAAUCAAUAAAAUUCGACAUGAACAUUUCCUUUUUCACUAAUAUAUUGACUUGUACUAUAACAAUAUAAAAAUAUGUAAAUAAUUAUGUCUGUAUAUAAUAUAAUUGUAGUUGCAUCAGUAUAGCACACCCCCAAUAACAAUCAACCGACAUAAAGUUGUUGGGGCC